rnacentral:rRNA from 1 species
UACGGGGGGGGCAAGCGUUGUUCGGAAUUACUGGGCGUAAAGGGCUCGUAGGCGGCCAACUAAGUCGGACGUGAAAUCCCUCGGCUUAACCGGGGAACUGCGUCCGAUACUGGAUGGCUUGAGUUCGGGAGAGGGAUGCGGAAUUCCAGGUGUAGCGGUGAAAUGCGUAGAUAUCAGGAGGAACACCGGUGGUGUAGACGGCUUACUGGACCAUAACUGACGCUGAGACACGAAAGCGUGGGUAGCAAACAGG